rnacentral:rRNA from 1 species
CUACGGGAGGCUGCAGUGGGGAAUUUUGCGCAAUGGGGGAAACCCUGACGCAGCAAUACCGCGUGAGUGAAGAAGGCCUUUGGGUCGUAAAGCUCUUUUCUUGGGGAAGAUAGUGACGGUACCCAAGGAAUAAGCACCGGCUAACUCCGUGCCAGCAGCCGCGGUAAUACGGAGGGUGCAAGCGUUGUUCGGAUUUACUGGGCGUAAAGGGCACGUAGGCGGCACAGCAAGUUAAGGGUGAAAUCCCGGGGCUCAACUCCGGAACUGCUCUUAAAACUGCUGAGCUAGAGAUAGUCAGAGGCGGGUGGAAUUCCAGGUGUAGAGGUGAAAUUCGUAGAUAUCUGGAGGAACACCGGUGGCGAAGGCGACCCGCUGGGGCUAUUCUGACGCUAAGGUGCGAAAGCGUGGGGAGCAAACGGGAUUAGAUACCCGGGUAGUC